UUUCUAAAUGGCUUCCAUCAUGUUCAGCGCUAUUCGUGUGUCUGCUAACUAAAACAUUUAAAUAAGAUAUGUAUGUUACUCACAUACAAAACGGUAAGAUGCUAGCGAACGGCUUUGUUGUGAAUGUAGUUAUUAGAAAAUUAACUAUAUAUUCAUUUCGGCGAAUUACAAUGUUUGAUAAAGAUGGCUUUCAUUAGUCUUUAUAUUCCUGCAAUUUUACUGUAUCAUUUGAGAAAUAAUAUUUUAAUAUUAGAGCAGUUUUAUUCUUUCAGUAUACAGACCGUAACAAUCUGUUUCUUGCAGCAAAUACUUAUAAAGUGAGAUGAUCUGCUGCUGAUCCUGAAUGGCUUGUCGAAUGAGUGUUGAUUGUCUACGGAUCAUCACUAUUAUCAGAGCAGCUGAAAAGCCUCUUUAUUUCAUGUCAAUAGAUCCUGUUUUCACCUCAUUCAUUAUGCUGAUGUCUUCAGGUCUGUAAAUUGCCACAUUAAGCUCAUUUUAUUGGUGUCAACAGACUUGAGCAAACGACACGAUCAACUCGUGACAUCUACUAGAUCUAGGUAUUUUCUGCAUUUGGCCCAAGUGUUCAAGUAGGCGUGAAGACUCGAGAACUUUUGAUUACCCAAUGGGACACA